UACCAGCACCCCGAGUGGUCGGGACGAUUAUUGGGCCUAAAGCAUCCGUAGCCGGCCUUACAAGUCCUCCGUUAAAUCCAGCUGCUUAACAGAUGGGCUGCGGAGGAUACUAUAAGACUAGGAGGCAGGAGAGGCAAGCGGUACUCAGUGGGUAGGGGUAAAAUCCGUUGAUCCAUUGAAGACCACCAGUGGCGAAAGGGCGG
rnacentral:rRNA from 1 species